GAGUAAUGUCUGGGAAACUGCCUGAUGGAGGGGGAUAACUACUGGAAACGGUGGCUAAUACCGCAUAACGUCGCAAGACCAAAGAGGGGGACCUUCGGGCCUCUUGCCAUCAGAUGUGCCCAGAUGGGAUUAGCUUGUUGGUGAGGUAACGGCUCACCAAGGCGACGAUCCCUAGCUGGUCUGAGAGGAUGACCAGCCACACUGGAACUGAGACACGGUCCAGACUCCUACGGGAGGCAGCAGUGGGGAAUAUUGCACAAUGGGCGCAAGCCUGAUGCAGCCAUGCCGCGUGUAUGAAGAAGGCCUUCGGGUUGUAAAGUACUUUCAGCGGGGAGGAAGGUGUUGUGGUUAAUAACCACAGCAAUUGACGUUACCCGCAGAAGAAGCACCGGCUAACUCCGUGCCAGCAGCCGCGGUAAUACGGAGGGUGCAAGCGUUAAUCGGAAUUACUGGGCGUAAAGCGCACGCAGGCGGUCUGUCAAGUCGGAUGUGAAAUCCCCGGGCUCAACCUGGGAACUGCAUUCGAAACUGGCAGGCUUGAGUCUUGUAGAGGGGGGUAGAAUUCCAGGUGUAGCGGUGAAAUGCGUAGAGAUCUGGAGGAAUACCGGUGGCGAAGGCGGCCCCCUGGACAAAGACUGACGCUCAGGUGCGAAAGCGUGGGGAGCAAACAGGAUUAGAUACCCUGGUAGUCCACGCCGUAAACGAUGUCUACUUGGAGGUUGUGCCCUUGAGGCGUGGCUUCCGGAGCUAACGCGUUAAGUAGACCGCCUGGGGAGUACGGCCGCAAGGUUAAAACUCAAAUGAAUUGACGGGGGCCCGCACAAGCGGUGGAGCAUGUGGUUUAAUUCGAUGCAACGCGAAGAACCUUACCUGGUCUUGACAUCCACAGAACUUUCCAGAGAUGGAUUGGUGCCUUCGGGAACUGUGAGACAGGUGCUGCAUGGCUGUCGUCAGCUCGUGUUGUGAAAUGUUGGGUUAAGUCCCGCAACGAGCGCAAC
rnacentral:rRNA from 2 species